GAUCCUGCUUUGUUGAGACUGGGAAGCCAUUUUGGGAUUCUGUGGUGUGGAACAGAAAAUAAUGUGCUGUCAACUUGCAAACUUGCCUUGAAUUAUUUUGACUGGGAUUGCUGGACCUUGGAACAGAAUGCUGAAGCAUAUACUCAUUCUAAAUACGUGAAACGGAUGACUCAGGAUUUUGGAUAUAUAGUAUGAUUUGAAACAAUCACCAUGGAUUUUUCACGUCUACACAUGUACACCCCACCCCAAUGUGUGCCAGAGAACACUGGCUAUACAUAUGCACUCAGUUCAAGUUAUUCUUCAACUGCUCUGGAUUUUGAGACUGAACACAAAUUGGAUCCAGUGUUUGAUUCUCCAAGAAUGUCAAGACGCAGUUUACGCUUGGUCACUGCAGGAUAUAAUGCAACAGAUGAUGCCCAAAAUGACAACAUUCAUAGCAAUUCCUAUAUUGGAAACAUGUCUUUGUCAGAUCAAUCAUCCAGAACAGCAAAGCAGCGCAAAAGUAUGAGCAAGCAGUCUGUCACUGUGAAAAAUACUCCAAGAAAAAAUGUAUCCAGCUCUUCUAUUUUUAGCCAAAGUAGUUUCAACAGCCAUGCCAGUGAUACAUCUGUAGUAUCUACUGUAUUGGAUGAAUCUUUGAUUCAGGAGCAAACAGAAGUUGACCAUUUUUGGGGGCUUGAUGAUGAUGAAUGCGAUCUUAAAGGUGGGGACACAACAGUGAUUCAGGGAAAUGGUGAUAUAGCAACAGCUGAAACACAGACUACCAUGAUCAAUGGCUAUACUUGCAGUGACUGCAGUAUGCUUUCUGAACGGAAAGAGGUCCUCACAGCGUACUCUGCUUCUCACAUGCCAUCUUCAAGAAUUUACUCUAGGGAUAGAAGCCAAAAAUAUAAAUCUAGAAACACCCCUUUCUACAUGAAUAAGAUUCUACGAUUGAUCAAAUAUACUGCAACAUCUUUUGCAUCACUGUUAGUGCAACUAUUUCAAAUGGUUUUGCUGAACCUGGGUUGUGAAUUUAAAGAAAUUCAGAUCUUAUCUAAUCAAGCUUUCCUGGAAGGUGCUACAGACAAACGGAGAACUGCUCACUCGAAUUACUGUGGAAGUAUGAAUGUAAAAGACUUUCUCAAAGAGGAUGGCCAUCUUGGUAUAAAUGGGGAAUCAUUGUGUGAUGACUGUAAGGGGAAGAAACAUCUUGAAACAUACACAACAGUCCACAUGCAAUCCUCAAGGUCUAAAAGGGUAGCAAGGACCAUUUGGCACACCUUUUCUUAUGCAGGUUACUUUGUGCUACAAAUGUUGCGAACAGUGGGAGCAACAGGAUGGUUUAUGUCUCAGAAGAUGUUAUCACUACUUUGGCUGGCCAUUGUUUCUCCAGGGAAGGCAGCUUCUGGGGUAUUCUGGUGGCUUGGAACUGGAUGGUAUCAACUUGUUACUCUGAUUUCUUUGUUCAAUGUGUUUCUUCUUACAAGAUGCCUUCCAAAGAUUUACAAGUUGUUACUGUUUCUCAUCCCACUGCUGUUUUUGCUAGGUAUAUGGUACUGGGGCUUUGAAGGCUUCCUUUCAUUACUGCCUGCAUUCAGUUGGACAAGCAUACGUCAAACACAAAGAAUAGAUGAGCCUGUGCAGAUUCUUAAACCGCAUCCUGAUUCUUCUCACUAUGUCCAGCCUCCAGAGGGUACCAUACAGUUAUUUGAUUCUAGUCGUAUGAGUGAACUGGAAAAGCAAAUGGCCCUCAUGUCUGACAGAUGUCAUCACAAUGAUGAAGAAUAUGGCAAAGUGAUGCUACAGCUUGAGAAGCUUCAGGAUCAGGUUUCCCAGAUGAAUGACAAAAGUGAGAUGUUGAUACUAAUAAAAAAUGUAAUGGGCCAACAUUUUAAGGAAAUGCAAUCUGAGGAAAUGGCACAUUCAACGACUGAUCUUCUGGCUUUACACCAAGAACAUGAAUUGCGCAUUUUGACACUGGAAGACCUUAUUGGAAAACUUUCUGCAAAAUCCAAGGACAUCCAGAAGGAACUUGAACUAACCCAAACAAGAACAGUGAGUGGAAGUGAUGAGCAAAACCAGCACCUUUUAUCCAAGGUUAAACAACUAGAACUAGAGUUGGCUCUCAUGAAGGCAGAACUGUUAACUCCACAAAGCUUGAAGACCUGCUAUGAGAAAGUAGAUACAAUUCAUGAAAAAGUAGAUGCCCAAGUCAAAGAAUCUGUCAAACUUAUGUUUUUUGGUGACCAACAAGAAGACUUUUCUGAAUCACUACUCCAAUGGCUAACAUCCAAAUUUGUGAGCAAGAGCGACCUGCAGGUUUUGUUAAGAGAUCUAGAGCUUCAAAUCCUCAAGAAUAUUACUCUCCACAUGUCAAUUACAAACCAAAAGCCAACCUCUGAAGUAGUAACAAGUGCAGUAAAUAAUGCAGUGAUUUCUGGCAUCACAGAAGCGAGUUCCCACCAGCACCCUGCAGACCACCAUAGAUACCUCGGAGGAGCCUGAGACCGAGACCUAGUCUGAACAAUGAGGAGGAGUCGGGAGACAUGGCAGGGUUGGGGUCCAGCUAUGCCAUGAGACAGGACCUGUUUGAGACUCCACUUCAGUCUGGCCAGUCCCAUCAGCCAAGCACCGAUGAACCUGGUGAAGGGAAAGGAACCUUGUCUGUUGCCAUUGUGGUCUCCACCACACCACUGGAACCCUGAGGAAAAGAAAGAGGGCUAGUGAGAUCCUGCAAGCCACUGAUGAAUCAGACUGCAAACAAAAGGCCUGUGUGGCCAACAUGGCAGACGGCAUGGAGAUGGACAGAGAGGACAGGAGAAAAUGGAGAAAGAUCCAGGAAUCCCCACAGGAGAAGGAGAGAGCUUCUCAGGCAGCGCAAACAAAUGCUGCAGACUCUGGUUGACCUACAAGUCCAGUAAUCACCAACUCCUCACCCUUUGCAGUCCCUGGAGAACUCCAUGGUGGCAGCUUCCCGUGUGCCCCAACAUUCCACCUGGCAUCCUGGGCCCUAUCCCUAUCGCUCCAUGCUGGUGGAUAGUAAGGAAAACUACGGCUUCACAUACACUGUCCUGAGAGCCACAGUUGCUUUAUGCGUAGCCAGAAUAGACUGCACCUGUGCACUGAAAUGGACAGAA